rnacentral:rRNA from 1 species
UACGUAGGGUGCAGGCGUUAAUCGGAAUUACUGGGCGUAAAGGGCUCGUAGGCGGCCAACUAAGUCGGACGUGAAAUCCCCAGGCUCAACCUGGGAACUGCGUCCGAUACUGGAUGGCUUGAAUUCGGGAGAGGGAUGCAGAAUUCCAGGUGUAGCGGUGAAAUGCGUAGAUAUCUGGAGGAAUACCGGUGGCGAAGGCGGCAUCCUGGACCGACAUUGACGCUGAUGAGCGAAAGCCAGGGGAGCAAACGGG